UACGUAGGGGGCAAGCGUUAUCCGGAUUUACUGGGUGUAAAGGGGGCGCAGACGGCGAUGCAAGCCAGGAGUGAAAGCCCGGGGCCCAACCCCGGGACUGCUCUUGGAACUGCGUGGCUGGAGUGCAGGAGGGGCAGGCGGAAUUCCCGGUGUAGCGGUGAAAUGCGUAGAUAUCAGGAGGAACACCGGUGGCGAAGGCGGCCUGCUGGACUGCAACUGACGUUGAGGCCCGAAAGCGUGGGGAGCAAACAGG
rnacentral:rRNA from 1 species